ACUGGCGCUACAAUACAUAGGCUUCGACAAUCGACAUCCUCCCGCAGCCGCCGCCGCCGCCUCACCAACCCACGCCGCCGGCUUUGACGACCAGCUUUGAUUUGUGUUUAGAAUCAAUUAUUGUGUCAUCUUUUCUUGCAUCUUUUUGUCUUUGGUGAAGUUUAGAAUGUCUUAUUUACAACCUGAGUUUUGUCCUAUCUCCAUUUUCUCCUGUAUAUGGCGUACGGUAUUACAAAUUGAUGCAAGGGUAUAUGCCUCCCGCGUGUUCGACAAAUGGCUUCUAAUGCAAGCCGUUUUUCGGCCUCUGGUUUUUUUGAAGUCUUGAUUCGAUAAUAAACAGCACAAUUAGGAUCCAUAGCUUUGAACCCAUUCUUUCAUCUGAAGUUUUAUGGGCAGUUAAGCUUUGUAUGACUUGGAAAAUCACGGAUGAAUGAGAAAGUUUCGACACUUGAGUGGCUGUUGUUCAAUUCAUGUAAUAUGUUACUAGGAAUGAUGAAUGACUUCUACAUGGAAAUGUUAACCAAUUCGCAUUCACAGGUAGUUCUGCUACUAUACCCAUAGCCCGAAGAGGAUAUCUUUGUACGUUUUUUUUUUCAUCUUCAAAAUAGCAAAUAUGAUGUUGCGUGAUGGGCUAAAAGAUCACCAAUUUGUUUACCGCGACCUAGGGAGAGUACGGUGUAGUAGUCAUAAGGAGAGGGGAAAUGGAAGGGAGAUUUGAAGUGAAGAUCAGGAAUUCAGGAUUGGGCUUUGUUGUUGAGAUUAAGUUCACAUCUUAGAGAUUGCUCGCGUUGCAGUACAUUGAUAGUCUUUUUUAUCAAGUGAUGAUAGAAGUCGAAGAUAUAGUCUUAUUGUUGUAUCAUCUCCUGAUAUUUUUGACCCUAGCAUCUCAGGUUAUGGGUAUGUAUAUUGUUCCCAUUUCUCUCUACUUGGUACUUGGUAGGGAUUAUAUUUGGAGGUUUUGAUUUGUGUGUGUUCUAUUUUUGUUUCUUGGACCUAAGAUCUCGAGUUGUAAAGUUUUCUACUUUCGUUGGCCCAAUCGUGUCUUCAGAGUCCAUCUGGAGAGUUUUAUAGUCAUCUCGUCGUGUCCUUUAGGCGUGUCCAGAGCUUUUUUGUAAAUCUCUUUUUUGGGUGGUCAUGAAGUUAGUUACUUGUUUAUUUUUCUUUUCACUUGUGCAAGAUUGUAUUGAUGAGAUGAGGGGGAAGAUGGAAUUUCAUGAUGAUUUUGUAUCUCUGUUUCCUCUUUUCAGAGAUUGAUAAGGAUGUUGGAUGGAUUGAAUUUCAAGGAAUUUGUAAGCAUUCUUGUCCGCAUUUAGUUCUCGUGCAAGGCUACAUCAAAAAGACAAAUGUUUAUGAUUCUGAUGGCAAUGGAAAGGUUGCAUUGAUAUGUUGGAUGUUCAGCGGGAUUUGAACUUUUGAAGUGAAGAUCAUUGAGCAGGUUACUACAUUGGCCCCUAAUGUUCUGGCAAUGCACGAGCUGCAUUUUGCAGUCCUAAUGGCUGGAGCAGUUCUUUGCAUGCUAAUACACGCCAUGAUUCAGCAAUGUUGUCAAUCCUAUUGAGACAUUCCAAAGCUAAGGUCAUUUUAGUAGGUUACAAUCCUACGUGAAAUCAAGCCCAGAGCGCUUAAAUCACCAGGAACUUAAACAAACAAGGGUAGUCAAUAAAAGGUUUUAUAGUUUAAUUUUCCUGUUGCAUAACAGAGAACUACGUUUGGAGGAAACCCAAGUGCUAUACUUGGCAAAAUGACUAGCAUUACCAACUGAACAAACCUUAUCCGAGCUGGAUGCAUCUUCACGAUAACGGUUCGAAACUGUUGACUUACAGGUACAGGGUCAGUUGAGCUUUCCUAAAAUUCAGAACUGCUAGCUCUAUGCUGCCAGCCGUUAUUCAGUCCAAUGCCGACUGAUUGAUUUUGAAACUUAGGCCAACUUCUUUCACUUUUGCAUUUAAAUGCUUGUAGUUCUUGCAUAGUGUAUGUUUCAUUCUCAAACAUUUAGUUCUGUUAAGAAACUGUUUGUGUAGAACA